CCCUUAGAUGUCCGGGGCCGCACGCGCGCUACACUGAAGGAAUCAGCGUGGCUUUCUCCCUGACCCGAAAGGGUUGGGAAACCCGUUGAAUCUCCUUCGUGAUAGGGAUUGGGGCUUGAAAUUGUUCCCCAUGAACGAGGAAUUCCCAGUAAGCGCGAGUCAUAAGCUCGCGUUGAUUACGUCCCUGCCCUUUGUACACACCGCCCGUCGCUACUACCGAUUGAACGGUUUAGUGAGGGCCUCGGAUUGGUCUCGGCCCGCUCUUUACCGGGCGGCGCCGUUGGUCGAGAAGACGCUCGGACUUGAUCGUUUAGAGGAAGUAAAAGUCGUAACA
rnacentral:rRNA from 1 species